GUCAAGGAGAAAAGGAAUGUAUGAGAAAGGAUAUGCAGGAUCUCCUGUGAAGAUUUAAUUUUGGGUGUUUGAUUCGGAUUUAGAAUUCUAGCGGAUACCAAAUCAGGAGUAAGGUUGUGGUUACUAGCAUAGCUGUGGUUACCAAGCGUCAGGCUCCCCUCUUUGUUAGGUUGUUUAUAUGUUUUCCUAUCACCUUGUAGACCUCGAACUUGUUAUUUGCUUUCAUGUUGUAUCUUGAACUUGUAGUACCUC